rnacentral:lncRNA from 1 species
CAACGUUUUGUGAGGCCCCUGGGAAUGUUUCUUCCUCUGAAAUUGGAGAUCAUAAAGCAGUUGUGAAGCUUUCAGAUGACUCAAAUGGAGCAAAACUGAGAAACAUUUGCCCUGAAACAGGAGGCUUGAGGAAAAACCAACAAAAAAGAAGAAAAGCCUCACCAGACUUGCAUCAGCCUUAAAGUACCUCCCAGAGGUCUUCUUAAGGUGUCCCCAGGAGGAGCUUUAGUGAACCAUCUCUCACAAAAAUGCCCCCUCACCUCAACAGAGAGCCUUAGCGGCGAGCAGGUCAUUUCGGAAAGUGCUCUGACAUUGCAGUGAUCUCUCUAAACACUGUCGUCACGUGGGACAGAGAGCAGUCACCAGAGGGCCAACAGUCUCAUUGAAUGUGGUUCACCAGCCUCCCAAAUACUUCCCCCAUUGUUGAUGCUUGAAAUCCCACCAUUAGAACAGCUUUCCUGCGCCAACAACCC